CAGAGACACACACAGAGACACUUAUGAUCAUUAUCAUCAAUCUUCUUUUUAUUAUAAUAAUAAUGAUAAUAAUUAAGUAGUGGUAGUAUUAUCAGUAGUAUUAUCAGUAGUAUUAUCAGUAGUAGUAUCAGUAGUAUUAUCAGUAGUAGUAUCAGUAGUAUUAUCAGUAGUAGUAUCAGUAGUAGUAUCAGUAGUAUUAUCAGUAGUAGUAUCAGUAGUAUUAUACAGAGUAUUAUCAGUAGUAUUAUCAGUAGUAUUAUCAGUAGUAGUAUCAGUAGUAUUAUCAGUAGUAUUAUCAGUAGUAGUAUCAGUAGUAGUAUCAGUAGUAGUAUCAGUAGUAUUAUUCAUAGUAUUAUCAGUAGUAGUAUCAGUAGUAUCAGUAGUAUUAUCAGUAGUAGUAUCAGUAGUAGUAUCAGUAGUAUUAUCAGUAGUAGUAUCAGUAGUAUAGUACGUCUAGUAGUGGUAACUAGUGCUACGGUAAGUAUGAGCAGUAGCACAAAGGACACGUUAUUGUUCAUAAACACGUCCUGCAUAUAAACAGAUCCACUCGCGGUGUGUGUCAGACGUCUGCACCGAGUUCCACUCCACACCGACCCUUAACUUCACACCUUCAGAUGUUUCACAAACCACCGCCUGAGCACCAUCAGUGUUAUUAAAACAUCCUGAGCUUCACAUGUUCCAGCUAAACCAGUGAUGCUAAAGAAAAACAAACACGUGUGCGAGUGUGUGUGUGUGUGUGUGUGUGUGUGUGUGAGUGUGUGUGUGUGCGUCGAGAACGCGUGCAGCGUGUAAAUAUCAAACCCUGAGGUGAGUUACGGAGGUCAGAGCGAAACUCGGAUUUAAACGCCUCACAACAAAAUCCGUUUCGGGCGCGUGAGAAGAGGCUACAGCUAACAUCACGUAGCUUCAACCUCGUCACGUUUUUGUGCUACAUUCGGCCGUAAAAAACACGUCCUGGGCGACUGAACACGUGUAAACCGUGUAAAAUUUCAUUUACAGUCAAACAUUUAUGAAAAACCGCUUGAAGCUGGAUCCUCGAGUCGCAACGAAGAACAACAACAGAAGCAGCUGGACACGUUUCCGUGGCAAUAACUAAACCUGCACGUGUAGCUACAGCCGCGCUCACGUUUGUUUAACUGCGAAAACGCGAAGAAAUCAGGAGAUCUGUAAAGCCCCGCAGGUUCUCGUGUUGAACUCCAACACAGCCUGGAGCUCUGAGGAAGCGCGGCGUAGCGACCUGAAGUUCUCCCGAGGUG
ensembl:lncRNA